rnacentral:ncRNA from 1 species
AGACAGAGGUGCACUUCCGAUUAGUAUAGUCUGACAGGAUAACCAAUCCGCUUUAUGCAGGCAGGAAAGGCUGGAGUGCCGAAGAUACAGCUUUGGUCGGGCUGUGUCUGGUCAGAUUUCCAAACAGGGCUCUGACUGUCAUCGUUAUGAUGGAGUGCUGUC